CUGGGCAAGGGGCGGCGGCGCCAUGUCCGGCCGCGAAGGUGGCAAGAAAAAGCCCCUGAAACAGCCCAAGAAGCAGACCAAGGAGAUGGACGAGG